rnacentral:rRNA from 1 species
CAGUCGCCGCGGUAAUACGUAGGUGGCAAGCGUUGUCCGGAUUUAUUGGGCGUAAAGCGAGCGCAGGCGGUUAGAUAAGUCUGAAGUUAAAGGCUGUGGCUUAACCAUAGUACGCUUUGGAAACUGUUUAACUUGAGUGCAAGAGGGGAGAGUGGAAUUCCAUGUGUAGCGGUGUAAUGCGUAGAUAUAUGGAGGAACACCGGUGGCGAAAGCGGCUCUCUGGCUUGUAACUGACGCUGAGGCUCGAAAGCGUGGGGAGCAAACAGGAUUAGAUACCCCAGUAGUCCCUGUCUCUUAUACC